CAUGACCCAUGAUUCCAUUGGACUUGGAGAAGAUGGACCAACCCAUCAACCAAUUGAGCACUUGGCAAGCUUCCGUGCAAUGCCCAACAUUCUGAUGCUCCGCCCGGCUGAUGGAAAUGAAACUGCUGGUGCAUACAAAGUUGCUGUCCUCAACAGUAAGAGACCCUCUAUCCUUGCCCUCUCCAGGCAAAAGCUACCCCAACUUCCCGGAACCUCGAUCGAGGGAGUUGAAAAGGGUGGCUACAUCAUUUCAGAUAACUCCUCUGGUAACAAGCCUGAUGUCAUCCUGAUGGGUACUGGUUCAGAGUUGGAAAUUGCAGCUAAAGCUGCCGAGGAACUUAGAAA
rnacentral:lncRNA from 1 species